UCCAUCUAACAACUGUGAGAUCAUCACCUGAGCUAGAAUCAGAUGCUACACCAACUGAGCUAGCCAAGUGCCUCAUGAAGAGAUUGUUUAAGUCAGGCCACCCAUCACUGCACUUGAUUUCACUCAAUCAAACCAAGGAAAUAAUUCUGCUGAAACUAAUCUUGUCAUAUUAAGAAUUUUGGGAUGAGAUCUUCACACACAAACCAAAUAGACUGAAGAUGAAUGAGGGUUAGAACGUGGGGUUGGAUUUCCAAAAGGAAAGCUGGAUCCUACUCUCAGAAGAGGAAAUGAAUGCUGAGAAAGAAUAAACAACCUAUGUCCACUACACAUGGAUUCAGAUAUUUUAAGAGAUGGAAAACAUCAAGUUCAUGUGAACACCAAAAGAUACCGAGAAUGGACAUUGGCCAUGAAAAUAACUUGCAAAAUAACUUGCUUGUUUUGGAGAAGAAUAAAAGUCUCCCUUUAAGAAACUGGAGGUUUCAGAAAUGAAAAAAUGAAAUAAAAAAAGAUCAAUUUUCCAGGCUAUGUUUCAAGGAUGUGCUCUCAAGAGAAGAAUCUAUAAAAUUCGUUUGGAAAUGGCAGCA